UCAUAGUUGAACAUAAACAUGAAACCAUUUCUUAAACGUUUGAUUCACAUCAAUCAUCAAAUUUAUUUACUUCACAUGUACUUAAUUAGGUUGUUCGUACCUGAAUAAUUUACUAUACGGAACGAAUCCACAUAUCGUAUUAGCCCAUAGUCUUAUAGCACCACGCUUUUAAUAGUUUACCGGCAAUUUGCCUACUAGAUAAUAACCUG
rnacentral:lncRNA from 1 species